UACAGAGGUCUCAAGCGUUGUUCGGAUUCAUUGGGCGUAAAGGGUGCGUAGGCGGCGCGGUAAGUCGGGUGUGAAAUCUCGGAGCUUAACUCCGAAACUGCAUUCGAUACUGCCGUGCUUGAGGACUGGAGAGGAGACUGGAAUUUACGGUGUAGCGGUGAAAUGCGUAGAUAUCGGAAGGAACAUCAGUGGCGAAGGCGACUUCCUGGACCAAUACUGACGCUCAUGUGCGAAAGCGUGGGGAGCAAACAGG
rnacentral:rRNA from 1 species